rnacentral:tRNA from 1 species
GGAGCGGUAGUUCAGUUGGUUAGAAUACCUGCCUGUCACGCAGGGGGUCGCGGGUUCGAGUCCCCUGCACGUUUCUCAA